UACGUAGGGUGCGAGCGUUAAUCGGAAUUACUGGGCGUAAAGCGUGCGCAGGCGGUUGGUUAAGUCUGAUGUGAAAGCCCCGAGCUCAACUUGGGAAUGGCAUUGGAAACUGGCUGGCUAGAGUGUGGCAGAGGGGGUGGAAUUCCGCGUGUAGGCAGUGAAAUGCGCAGAUAUCAGGAGGAACACCAAUGGCGAAGGCAGCUCGCUGGGACGGUACUGACGCUGAGGCGACGAAAGCGUGGGGAGCAAACAGG
rnacentral:rRNA from 1 species